rnacentral:rRNA from 1 species
UACGGAGGGUGCAAGCGUUGUUCGGAUUUAUUGGGCGUAAAGCGCGUGUAGGCGGUUUCUUAAGCCUGAUGUGAAAGCCCUGGGCUCAACCCAGGAAGUGCAUUGGAUACUGGGAGACUUGAAUACGGGAGAGGGUAGUGGAAUUCCUAGUGUAGGAGUGAAAUCCGUAGAUAUUAGGAGGAACACCGGUGGCGAAGGCGGCUACCUGGACCGAUAUUGACGCUGGGACGCGAAAGCGUGGGGAGCAAACAGG